GUUAAGCAUAGCUUAUUUAAGUAUGGCAAAAUUCCUAUUGUUACUGCCUCUAAUAAAUUGUUGGCUACAGAAAAUGAGUGGAAAAUAGUGAACUUGUGUAGUAUGCUUUGUGGGAUGAGAAUGGGAGAGUAUCUCUACUCCUAAUGAAGCAGUUGGUAGUCUUCAUUCUGGGUUUAUUGUCCCACCUCCCAUCUUUGUCUGGCUUUUUUCGUCCUCAUCCGUCUGGGUUUUUUCGUCUUCAUGCCACCUCCCUCUACCCCUCGAUUUUAUCUCGCACGUCACAAAAAACUAGGCAACAAGGAUCCCCUUGCACGUAACAAAAGAAAACCAGACGACAAGGCUCCCCUCGCACGUAGCGAAAAAAACCCAGAUGAACGAGGCGCCCUCGCUCAACCAUAUCCACCUCACGCCGACGUGGUGUCUCCCGACGAUGACCUCGUCCUCAUGCCCUCACCGUCCUCCUCCUCAAGAUGUCACCAUCGCGUCCCCUCCAGAAUUCGGCCAUGGCCGCCACCGAAGCCAUCCUCUCAAUCGCCACCGGCCAGCCCUCACCUCCACAUCGCUAUCUCUCAACCUCCAUGGAUCUUCUCCCGGAUGGAUCUGUCCAUGUCGCUAGAUCGGGGGAGGGGGGCCUCCACCAUCGUCGUUCUUCUCCCUUCCCGACCUCCCGUCGCCGUGCUCCACGGAUCUGGCCGUGGCCACAACCGACGCAGCUUCCCCGGCCACCUCCGACGACGCUAGGGAGGUGGCCACGGUGGUCGCUGCCGGGUCCAUGGAGGAGCUCACCCCAGUCUUCUCCUCGCCCCCCUCCCACGGCUGGGUCUCCUGAUCCCUAGCAGUGCUUUGCUACGGGCAGCGACGGACAAUUAACUGCUCCCUCCGUAAACUAAUAUAUGAGCGUUUAAAUCACUAUUUUAGUAAUAUAAAUGCUUUUAUAUUAGUUUACAGAGGGGUAGCUAAUUAUCGUCUCUCAGCUCUACAAGAACAGUACAUCAUGCAUGUGUAGCAAAAAAUACUUCCGGUACUGAUUCUAACCGAUUUCCCAUAAAGUGCAUCGUUACUGAUAGCUUUGUACCAGGGACUGAGGAUAUGCAGAUAUGAUAAUUACACUACAGAUUUUCUCUUUUAGCUAGAUGCGUACCCAUAGGCCGUUAUUCAGUGCAUUUGAAAUAAACCUUGGCAUUAAUGGUUUAUCAGUUUACGUGUGCAAGAUACAAUAAGAAGACUAAUGAUCUUACUAAGGAGCAUGUUGAGAGUGCAGAUGAUACUGCUAAGUUUGUCCGCAUCGUCGUGAGGUGGAGAGCCAAAAUGCCUGAAGCUUAUGACAUGGGUGAAGGAGAUGAAAGCUCUAGGGAAGUAGGGAGUACCACAAGAUCUGACUCACCACUGUCUGAUCUAGGCACUGGCUGGCCAAGGUAAUGAAGGGUGACAUAGGGAGGGCUAAGAGACACUGGUGAUGUUCUCUUUUUAUUUUGCAUUUACUUAUUUAUUUCACAUUUACUUAGUCAGGUUAUUUUAUUAUACCUGAGGUAAUUCACCGGCAUUGUUUCUAAAUUAGAUUGUGUUUUGUUUUAUUCUGGAGUGUAUAUACUGUUGCACAAAACUAUCUGCAUAUGAAAUGGCAUGAUAUUAGUCUUUUCAUUUUUUAAAGAAUGUCACUAGCCUUUGAGCAAUCAAAAUUAUGUCCUGAAGUUAUCGACACUUGAAUAUACAUUAUGAUUUAGUGCACUUUCAGUCAAUGGUCAAUGCAUCACUAUUUUCUGGAAACAUUCCGUUCCAGGUGAAAUUUUCUUUUCAGCUUGAUAUGUUAAUAAUAUUAUUACCAUGUUUCUCGGAAAUGUCUAUUUGAGAACUUUUCGGCUAAAGUGGUGCUUGUAUAUUGGACAAGUAAGACACUCAAAAAUAGAUUCAGCAUGGUUCCUGCACUCCCAACUUUUCAUGGUUCACUUCACGUAAAAAAAACUUCUUCGUCAUGGGGCAACUGUGGUGGUUCGCGACUCUGCGAGAAGAUGAUCGAGGGUCAGCGGCGCGUCUGCUUCAUCGUCAUCUUCGAUGAGUCCAAGUGAUUUAUAUCUGAUGCCACUCAAAAGAGAAUUCUGAAGCUGAUGAACUUGGAUAGCUUGACAAUCUACCUUAGCAACAGACAUCUCCACGUAAAUGGUGGCGGCUAGGGUGAUCAGGGAGGAUGACGCGCUACGGCAACAAUAAAAGCGCAAUGCCGCAAUCUCUCUCGUGAUUGAAUUAUCCCAGUCUGAAAUCUGGAUGGAGUUCCCCACGGAAAGUGAAUACCUUUCAAUUGGAUGCUCGAGGGAGUAGGGUACCCUAUGAG